rnacentral:rRNA from 1 species
GACGAACGCUGGCGGCGUGCUUAACACAUGCAAGUCGAACGGAAAGGCCCUGCUUUUGUGGGGUGCUCGAGUGGCGAACGGGUGAGUAACACGUGAGUAACCUGCCCUUGACUUUGGGAUAACUUCAGGAAACUGGGGCUAAUACCGGAUAGGAGCUCCUGCUGCAUGGUGGGGUUGGAAAGUUUCGGCGGUUGGGGAUGGACUCGCGGCUUAUCAGCUUGUUGGUGGGGUAGUGGCUUACCAAGGCUUUGACGGGUAGCCGGCCUGAGAGGGUGACCGACCACAUUGGGACUGAGAUACGGCCCAGACUCCUACGGGAGGCAGCAGUGGGGAAUAUUGCACAAUGGGCGGAAGCCUGAUGCAGCAACGCCGCGUGCGGGAUGACGGCCUUCGGGUUGUAAACCGCUUUCGCCUGUGACGAAGCGUGAGUGACGGUAAUGGGUAAAGAAGCACCGGCUAACUACGUG